GAAAUGCGAUAAGUAGUGUGAAUUGCAGAAUUCAGUGAAUCAUCGAAUCUUUGAACGCACAUUGCGCCCCUUGGUAUUCCAUGGGGCAUGCCUGUUCGAGCGUCAUUUGUACCCUCAAGCUCUGCUUGGUGUUGGGUGUUUGUCCCGUCUCCGCGCGUGGACUCGCCCCAAAGUGAUUGGCAGCCGGCGUACUGGUCCCGGAGCGCAGCACAUGUCGCGCAAACGAGUGCCUUGGUACGGCGGGGUCCAUAAGCCCCUCUCUCACGCUCUUGACCUCGGAUCAGGUAGGGAUACCCGCUGAACUUAAGC
rnacentral:misc_RNA from 1 species